AUGUCCUAGUAUCUCCUGGUCCGUCGGAUCAAACUUCAUGCCAGCUGGCAGCCCCGGCAAAUCCUGUAUCCCCCCGCCGCCGCCGCCGCCCUACAACAAACAACCAAUCAUUAGCGACGGCGGAUAUUGAACAAAACAUUAGCGACGGCGGAUAUUAAACAAAACACAAAAGAUGACAGAACCAAAAUAAAUAAAUAAAAGAAAAAAACAAACCUGAUCUUGGAACGAGGAGGACGAAUCCAUGACCUGGCCACAUGAAGGACACCUGGAAGCGGCGGGAAAC
rnacentral:lncRNA from 1 species